AUACUUACCUGGCGGGGGAGACACCUUGAUCAUGAAGGUGGUUUUCCCAGGGUGAGGCUCAUCCAUUGCACUGCAGGUGUGCUGACCCCUGCGAUUUCCCCAAAUGUCUAAAAAAAACCCCAAAAACUCAUAGGGGUGUCUCCCCCCCCUU